rnacentral:rRNA from 1 species
CCUACGGGAGGCAGCAGUGAGGAAUAUUGGUCAAUGGACGAGAGUCUGAACCAGCCAAGUAGCGUGAAGGAUGACUGCCCUAUGGGUUGUAAACUUCUUUUAUAUGGGAAUAAAAUGUUCCACGUGUGGGAUUUUGUAUGUACCAUAUGAAUAAGGAUCGGCUAACUCCGUGCCAGCAGCCGCGGUAAUACGGAGGAUACGAGCGUUAUCCGGAUUUAUUGGGUUUAAAGGGAGCGUAGGUGGAUUGUUAAGUCAGUUGUGAAAGUUUGCGGCUCAACCGUAAAAUUGCAGUUGAAACUGGCAGUCUUGAGUACAGUAAAGGUGGGCGGAAUUCGUGGUGUAGCGGUGAAAUGCUUAGAUAUCACGAAGAACUCCGAUUGCGAAGGCAGUUCACUGGACUGCAACUGACACUGAGGCUCGAAAGUGUGGGUAUCAAACAGGAUUAGAUACCCUAGUAGUC